AACAAGAACUUCAUAGUUAGGCUGAAAGCUUCCUUCAGGCAUAACUGAAAGACUGCUGGUGUUACACUGUUGACUUAAAAUUAUAUUCUUUAUCCCUCUGUAAGGCUGAUUUGCUGAUAAAUUAAUAAAGCUUAUUGCCAAACUACCACCUAAAUAGAAUAAGAAAAAAAAUUUUUUUGUAUUCUUUUCCCCACUAGUGGUUACCUGUGAAUUUACUCUAUUGUAGCUACUUACACUAGUGUAGCCACUUCAUUUAUUGGACAAAUAUUAGCAUACAUGAGUAAUCCAUCCUCUGCUAGAAGACAGUAAAAAUCUUAAAUGUUAAUCUGAUCUCAGAGCCAGGAAAUCCUCAUAUUAUUUAUAGUUGAUGCAAUGCCAGUUUAUUGUCAUUACAAUGCAUGCAAAUUCUUGCUAUUUGAGGAGAAAUACUAUGAGUAUUUUUUUAGAAAGCUGGUAGUAUUUCAGUUUGGUAUUUUGUUGUAAUCGUGCCAUCCUUUUGGACAGCUUACUUUUCUGUGUGUCUUUAAUUUUUUUUAAACCAAAAUGUCACAGCUUGAAAGUAGUGUUUUUUUAUCCAUUCUGUCAUAAAUGGAGGGUAGGAUUUUCGCACUCUACUGACACGUUCAGAGUCUUAACUGCUCACAGAAAACUGUUAAACUUUGUAUUCUUUCAGGGGAGAGAAAAAAAUUUAUAGGAGCAUGUGUCCUCUCAAAAUGGUAAAGACUGAUCCUUUCAGGAAAUUGCCUUAUCUGGUGACCAUGCAAGAUGCAUUUUUUCCGUAUAAUUGUCUGUGGAGUUUAGAAGGACAAGCUAUCUAAAAUAGCUGUGUCAUUCAUGUACUUGUGAUGAUGGUGCUCCCAGUUUAUUGCUCCAUCAACUGCUUUUUUCCUUCCCACUAGGGUAGCAUUAAAGAUCUUUUGUUUGUAGAACUACUUUGAGUUCUUCAGACAGAAAUUUGGAGAAAUCAUUUAGAGACCAAGUAUUAAUCACUACUGAAAGUGUCGGUGGUAUCUCAUAGCCUGAGUCAUUGUUUUUCUAGGUCCAAAUUCAAAACAGCUUAGAGACCCUUCUGGCAGAAUCAUUGCUGAAUUUUGCAUUGGUCCUUUGGUAUUGCAUGAUACUAUGAAUUCCUGCUUGAUGUUUUAUGCAAGCUAUCAGAACCUCGUGAAUUUAUAAUGUUGUCUUUAUUUUUAAAGAUCUGCAGUAGCAUGCAAAAUAAUGACUCAGUAACUGGAAUGAAUGUGUUUUCCUUCUGUUUACUUCCCUCCUUUUUCCUGAUGUAUGCAACACUGGCAUUGAAGAUAGCUAUAGACCCAUUCUUUCCAAGCAGGAAGGGCACACAUUCUAGGAGGAUCGUAUCUCUAGAAUAUUUCUCAAGUACACCAGGCAAGUGUCUGUGAUCUUACCAAUCAGACCUGCUUGUUAUAUGGUCAUUUCCCUCCAGGCCAACAUUCUCUGUUAUCUCUCCUACUCUUUUCAGCUUGUCAGGAGCAAACAAGGAUAGCCUAUAAAUGUUUAUUUUGUUAUUCUCUUGAGUAUUAUUUCCCUCAUAUGGGGAAGCAGUGACUCCUACUCUUGCCUUUUAAGGCUAGUUUCCAAAAUGUGAAGAUCCAGAAUAUUUUUUAUGGAAAUAGUACAGGAGAAGUAGCAUUGAAUACUUGAUAACUGUAUGCCUUCAUGGUUGAUAGGUUCACCAUUUCAGUUACCACAGAAGUGCUCAAGCUUCAGAGUCUGUUUUGUUUGUGGACCGCAGUAGCAACUGUGGCUGCAUCAAUAAAGUGACACUUUCUGCCUCCUGUUCACAAGAUACUGCCAGAUACUGUGCAUGGUUGAUGUUUGUGAACGACUGCAAACUGGGAUUUGUGGCCAUUUUUGAAAAGAAUAUUCCAUAGGAGGGGGAAAAAAAAACACACAAAAAAACCCAAUAACUAUUAUUUUAAGUGUACCAUGAGUGGUGUCUUCCAGAGUAUUUAUUGUACAUCUUGCAUAAUCCUGUCACUGGGAUCCUUAGUGGAGAGCCCCUGAAUUCAGCAGACAACUUAUACUUCCAGAAUUCUUUCAAGAUUCUUUUUUCUUGGUUUUGUGAAUAGAGCAGAGGCAGAUAUUCUCUCCUUUGUUAAUAAUAUGUAUAAAAGCUGUUAUGUGUUUCAGGGCCCACCUAGUGCUGUAAAAUUUGGUACAAUCCAAACCAGAAGUUACAUCUUUAAUCUGUGUAUUUACACUACUUCAUCUUUGAAGCUUUCAAGAAAUAACUAUAUAUUAUAUAUGUAAUUAAUAUUGCACACAAUGCUUUUACGUCAGAGAUACGGUUAUAAACAUUUUAAAAUAAAUACGACAACAUCUGUGUGAAGAUAUCAAAUAUAUUUCUUUCUGGGAACAACCUCCAUGCAGUGGCCUUAGAAAGCACAAAUAAUCAGAUGAAGCUGAAUUAACAGGACAUUAAUUAAUGUAGUGCUUUUUCAAUCUUUUUCAAUCUCAGGAAGUUUUCCUUUACACCCUGAAGACCCAAGGCUGUUCUGCUGCAUGUUCCAGUUUGGCAGCUCUCGUAUUCCUGUGGUUGUCUUGUUAGCCAGUUCAAGAAGCCAGUGAAGUACUGAUCCCCCCAAAUGUAAAACUGGAUGUUAAGCUUCCUAACCUAGCUUGGUGCUGUUUGUACAGAUAAUAUGAAUUGUGUUCAAAGGAUUGUAUGUGACAAGGUCAGCUUAAAUCAGUUCUGUGUUCCCACUUCUGCCCACUGUCUUGUUCUGGUUUAAGCAUUAAGAGUAGCCUCAUGGUUAUAGCAUCAGACAGCUGAUCUGGGCUAAGAUUUCUUCUGCUUGCUGGGUUACUUUGUACUCACUCGGUUAAAAUAGCAUCAAAAUGGUUUUAAUGUGUAAUCCCUAAUCUGAGUUCAUAUAAAACCUCAUGAUCUCAAGUGCUUGCAUCAUAUUCUUGCUUCAUUUCAUCCUUCAUACAGUAGAAUACUGUGUAAUGUAAUAUCAACACAGUUUAUGUGGGUGGACGUGAUUUUGUUAUUAAGGUUCAGUCAAUGACAUGGAUAGGAUGAAUAAAUACAUGUAUAUUUUAAAGAACCAAAUCCAAAAUUAUUUUCAUCCAACUGCAAGUGAUAACUUUCCAUAAAAAUCGUCAUCCUCCUCUGCUUUUGAUCAGGUGUUUUUGUUUCUCAGAGUGUAUAAAUGAGUUGAUAUGAGUAUACUAGCAUUACAUGCAAGUUAGCACCUCAGAAAUCGUUAAGUGUCGCCUAUGCAGAUGCAUACAAUUGUGCUGCUUAGGACCAACUUUAUUUCAAAAUUUAUAUGCACCCACAUUGAGUUCCAGCUGUCUUAAAGAGAUAGUACUAGGUGAUCAGAAUAUUUUAUACAUUAAGAAUGAAAUGUAAGAUACUCUUUGGUCUCGAAAGAACUCUAACAAAUUGUAUAUAAUGAGAUUGUAAGGCUGACUGUGUAGUAAGUCUGGUGAGAAAAGAAGGGGCAUGGUUGAAAGCUCUAGAAAGGAAGGAUGUAGCUGGAAUCACUACUGUUUCAGGAUACUUUUUACUAUUAAAAAUCCUUUUGAAAGUAGUUGUAUUGCGCUUGACCUCUUGUUUCUGUUAGUGGAAUUACAUAAAGAAACCACAUUGUGUUUGUCUACUUUCUGCUUCCUGUUGCUUGUUCAAUUUAGCAAAGAAUUAAUUUAAGUCAGACAACUUGUGUCUGCAGAGCUUGUUCUGAGUUAAACUGAAAAAUCAUCAAUGCUGUGAUUGCUUAUAUGUUUGAUUAUCAAGCAUCUGAAGUGCACUUUGUAUAAUAUCUUGGGGAAUUUUUUCUUCCAAACUCCUACUUUCAGACACGUGACAAAUCUCUGCCUAGCAGCAAAUACAGAAAAAAAUUGUCUGCCCAUUGACACAAGAGAAUUUAAUCCAUUACUGUCCACUUAUACAAUAGAAUCUUAUUUUAUUGCAUUCUUUAUUAUAACAAGAAAUUGUCAUAGAAACUUUUGUUACUGCUUAUUACAAAAACUUCCAUUACCUGCAUUACCUGGUGCUCUUAGCAUAUUAAUGCACUGGGUUACCACCGCUGAAAACGUUUGUUUUUUUUCUUCUUGAACCUAGUAGUGAAUAGAUUAUUAGGCUGACAGCUUGUUUUUCAGUUCCUGUCCUUCCUCAGCUUGUGGAAAAAGUUUAGCUUCUGUUGAUCAAUGAAUGACUGUCUUGUGGUCACGACUGCCAAUAAAGAUUAUUAGCAGAGGCCAGCUAACAUCUACUGAGUGAGCGACCUUUCCUGAAAGCAGAAUGCUUGUGACAGAUAGUUCUAAUAGGUGAUAAGGAUAUAAAGGUUUUGUAACUUGUCGCUUUUACAUGAAAAGUGAUUAAUAUUUCCCUCUUUUCUUUCUUCUGGUAAUUUGAAGAUUUAUUCUAUUUCAUUUCCUCUGUGACUUCUCAUUAAUUUUGUGAUUCCACUUCAUUGGAAAUGAACAGCUGUCAGCUGUUGUCAGUGGUCAGUGUGACUGUCUGCAUUGACUACCUUUCUUCUGUGUCCCUUUAUUUACUACAGCCUUGUAAAAAAUACAGAUGGUUUUAAGUACCAGAUAUGAUCAGAUGGUGCCUUUCAGGCUGCAGAAUACCAUGAUGAGGCAGCUGUGUUUGCACUGGGUGCAUUCUUAUCCUUUAAAUGUGUUGCAUUUGACCUGACCAGUUCCAUGAAAUAGAAACCUGCAGGCAGAUGUGGUUGAUUGGACAGUUCAGAAACUUCAGGAAGUUCUCCUGACUUUAUGCUUGCAACUCAGUUGUGCUGAAAACUGACGUUGUGUAGGUUAUACACCUGAGUAGAAAAUAAUGUUUUUCAGAUUGAUCAACAUUUAAGUUACUUGUAGGACGCUUAUUUAGACAGUAUUUUUUGUGAGUUGUACGAACCCCAUUUUGUAUUUCAUUUUUCUAACAAGAUGAUUUCUAUUCAUAGUCUCAUUUCUCAGUUCAGCCUUCUCACCUUUCCAAGUCCAGUACUGUCCUCAGAUUGAGAGCAUAAACUUUUGUGAUGUACCUGUCAUGAUGUAUGGCACACCAAGGGAUAGCACAGGAGCCCACAAAGGUCUAACUUCAGGGGUGAGAGUCCACAUUUGAUGAAGAUUCAGAUAAAUCCACUGCAGUGGAGUAAAUGACUCAAUUUCCAUUUACAUCACCAACGUGACAUGGCAUAUAAACCACAAUGAGUAAGAAUGAGUUUCUGUUAAUGCUUGCUUUAAAAAAUGAAGAAUCAUAAAAUGGUUUGGAUUAGAAGACACCUUUAAGACCAUCUCAUUCCAACCCCCCUGCUAUAGGCAGGAACACCCCCCAAUAGAUGAGGUUGCUGGAAACCCCAUCCUGCCUGGCCUUGAAUGCCUCCAGGAAAGGGGCAUCCAUAACCUCUCUGGGCAACCUGUUCCAGCGUCUCCCCACCCUCACAAUUAAGGAUUUUUUCCUAAUAUCUAGUUUAAAUGUACUCUCAGUUUAAAAUCAUUUCCCCUUGUCCUGUCGCUACAUGCCCAUCUAAAACGUAUCUCCUCAGCUUUCCUAAGGCCCCCAUCAGGUACUGGAAGUCUGCUGUAAGGUCCCUCAGAACUUUCUCUUCUGCAGACUGAAAAGCCCCAGCUCUCUUGGCCUGUCCUGAUGGGGUAGGUGCUCAAGCCCUCAAGAAGAAGAAGAAGAAGAAAAGAUGCAGACUGUAAUAAUUUGUUUUAAUUUAGAAAGAUAAUGACUGCAGUACUUCUAGACCUUCUGUUUAGAUUUCUAGACUUCUAUUUAAAACCAACAAACAAGACACAUGAAACUGAGAGUGUAAGUGUAUGAUAUCCUCAACUAAUGUCUCUGUUUUGGGCAUAAGAUUUGAAGACCGUGUCUCCCUUAUUUUGUGUUCUCGCAGUAGGGUCAUGCAUUGUCUCCCUGUGACAGUAGCACCGCAGUGCAACAGUUGUGAAACGGGCUUUGUGCACGUUGUGUUUACAUGUGUACGUCACAGGCAAGGAGGCAUCGCGUCACACCCAGUCUUGAUGACGCACCUUGGUUCGUUCUGCUCUAUUUUCAGCCUGUUGCCGGGCAGAUUUGCACAGGCCUCCCGGUGGUGACUCAGCUACACGCUUGCAGAUUGGUUGAUGCAAAGCGGCUGUUUCGCAGCCAAUGCUGAGCGGGCAUGCAAAUUUUCUGCUGUCAGCUGCCAUCAGCCUGAGGAAGGCAAGGCUCGGCUCCUUACCCAGCUGGUGCAGAGCAGGGCGCUGCGGGGGUUCCAUCCUGGGUGCUUCCGGCAUUGAAAGGACAGCCCAUCGUGCCAUGUGAAAAUGAGGUCAAGAUGGAUAGCACAGAUGAACCUCAGAAAAAAGUCUUCAAAGCACGAAAAACGAUGAGAGCAAGUGAUCGGCAACAACUUGAGGCUGUCUAUAAGGCUAAGGAAGACCUGUUGAAGACAGUUGAAGUUAAACUGUUAAAUGGAAAGUACGAGAACGGAGAUUCUGAUUUAAAUUCUCCUUUAAGCAAUACAGACUGUACGGAGGACAAGAGGGAAGUUAAUGGCCUAGUGGAUUCUAAUGAAAUUAGUGAAAUCAAAAGACCUGAAAGUAGGGCAGAAAUUAUAGUCAGUGACCUAGAACCUAAACCUCUCUCUCCAGAGAAUAUUACUCAUGAACAAGAUAUUGAUAUUGCAUUAGUUUGUGAGGCUGAAAACAGAGUGCUUGGUAGCAAUAAAGUUAACUUCCAUGAAGAAAAUAACAUAAAAGAUCAUUUGGACCAAAGAGAGAGUGACACUUCAUCAGAAGGUGACAAUAAAUCAAACUGUGAUAAUAGCUCCUCAUCUGAAGAGAAAGGAAAAACAAAUGACUUAACUAUUAUUUCUAGUUCGCCUGUUGAAGACAAGAAGAAGGCUGGAGAAGUAAUUGUUGAAGAUUCUGUUGGGGAAGAGGCUAUCUCUAGCAGUAUGGAAACUGACCAGGAACCAAAAAAUCAAGGAGAUGGCACUGCAGGUCUUUCAGAAACCGUAGCUGAGAAGGCAGUGGAUGAGUCAAGUGAAAGUAUCCUGGAGAAUACUGACUCUAUGGAAGCAGAUGAAAUUAUUCCAAUUUUGGAAAAACUAGCUCCUGCUGAAGAGGAGAUGAGCUGUUUUUCUAAAAGUUCUUUGCUUCCAGUGGAUGACACAACCCCAGAUUUAGAAGAGAAGAUGGACAACUGUUUGGGUUCACCACUGAAGCAGGAAAGCAAUGAAAGUCUGCCAAAAGAGGCUUUCUUAGUGCUGUCUGAUGAAGAGGAUCCUUGCGAUGAGAGGGAGCAUGCUGAAGGGGUACUACCAAACAAGUCAGGUCUUCCAGAAGAGGUGGGAAAAAGUGAGGAAAAGGACAAAGAAAGAGAAGUGGUCCACAAAGAAGAAGAAAAACUCACAGACAGAGGUGAAGUAUCAAGAAGAAAGCGUUCAAAAUCUGAGGACAUGGACAGUGUGCAUUCUAAACGGCGUCGAUAUGUUGGAGAGGAAGAUUAUGAAGCAGAAUUCCAAGUGAAAAUUACAGCCAGAAGAGAUGUUGACCAAAAGUUAGAAAAGGUUAUCCAGAGAGUGUUAGAAGAAAAACUUGCUGCUUUACAGUGUGCUGUAUUUGACAAGACUCUGGCAGACUUGAAAAUGCGAAUAGAGAAAGUAGAAUGUAACAAGAGGCAUAAAACCGUGCUUACUGAACUACAGGCUAAAAUCUCUCGAUUGACAAAACGGUUUGGAGCUGCCAAGGAGGAUAUGAAGAAAAAACAGGAAAAUACACCAAACCCAUCUAUGUCCUCAGGAAAAGCAGCAAGUAGCACUGUGAAUGCAAACAAUCUGACAUACCGAAAUAUUACCACGGUGAGGCAGAUGCUGGAAUCAAAGAGGAAUGUAGGAGAUAGUAAACCAGCAACUCUUCAAGCCCCUGUGAAUGCAGCACCAGCUUCAAGUCUUGCUGCUCCUCAGACACCUGCCAGUGGACAUCCUAAGCCUCAGACUCCAGUGACCUCUAGCCCUUUGACAACAGCAGUUAUUUCGACGGCUAACACAGCUACAGUUGUAGGCACAAGCCAAGUGCCCAGUGGCAGCACUCAGCCAAUGUCUGUUUCAUUGCAGUCUUUGCCUGUAAUCUUGCACGUGCCUGUUGCAGUAUCAUCCCAGCCUCAGCUCCUUCAAGGCCACGCAGGAACUUUGGUCACUAACCAGCAGUCAGGCAGCGUUGAAUUUAUAUCUGUACAGAGCUCAUCUACAGUUGGUAGCCUUACCAAAAAUGCAGUAUCUUUGGCAUCUACUAACACAACUAAACCAAAUAACAGCCUGUCUGUGUCCAGUCCUAGUGUUCAGAGAAACUCUCCAGCCAGUGCUGGGUCUGUACGGACAACAUUAGCUGUACAAGCAGUUUCAACUACACAUCCUGUUGCACAAACCGCAAGGACUUCUUUGCCCACAGUGGGUACUUCAGGACUUCAUAAUUCUACCAGCAAUCGAGGUCCCAUACAUAUGAAGAUUCCCCUCUCUGCAUUUAAUAGUACCGCUCCUGCCGAACCAUCUACCGUUACAGCGCCCAGAGUUGAAAACCAGACAAGCAGGCCACCAGCAGAUUCUUCAGCGAACAAGAGAACAGCUGAGGGAACAACACAGCUCUCAGAACAAAAAGUAGUUCGCUGUGUGCCGUAUACCUGUGGCAUAUUUGAUGGUACAACUUUGAUCAAUUGUUUCGAAAAGCAAUUGAAACAGGAAGAGACUUCAUCAGAAAAUAAAGAAGCAGUAGAAGCAGCACAGAUGAAUCUUAACUUCCCUGAGGAUGUCCUCUUUGGCUUGGAGGAAGAGGAAGAGGAUGCUAAGAGCAUCAAAAACACCCACAAGCAGACUGGCUGGGCAGCUAACCUAUUAAAGCAAUGGCUGGCCAAAAAUGGCAAGGAUCCUAGCUUUGAAUUGGUUCCAGUAAGUGAACUCAAUGAUAUUUUAAGAGAAUUUUAUUGCAAAAUAAGGAAUCAUGAUGGAAAUACCUACAGUGUGGCAAGCUACAAGUCAAUGCGUGCUGGCUUAAACCGGCAUCUCAAAAUGCCACCUUACAAUCGUCAGAUUUGCUUAAUGAAGGACAAAGAGUUUGCUAGUGCAAAUAUGGUAUUUGUGAGUAUGCUGAGGAUGCUGCGCAUCCAGGGAAAGGAUGAGACUCACCACCAUCCUCCUAUAGCAGCUGAUGACUUGCGUAAGAUUAAACUGUCUGGUGUACUGGGAUUGCACAGUCCUGUGGCACUCGUCAACAAGGUGUGGUUUGAUUUGCAGUUGCAUUUUACCAAACGAGGGAGGGAAAUUUUGAGAGAUCUGGCUCCAGAUGCUUUUGUUGUUAAGAAGGACAAGAACGGGCGUCGUUAUGCUAUGUUUAGGUGUCCUGGAAAAGGAAAAAAUGAAGAAGAUCCUCAUAAAAUGGGUAAAAUGUAUGAUAUGCCAGGGGACCCAAACUGUCCUGUUUUUUCCUUGGAGCUUUAUUUAUCUAAGUUGCCUCCAGAGCCUCCGGCCUUUUACCUGCAUCCUUUAAAGCUAACAGCAGAGCAAAUGAAAGAACAGCCUGUAUGGUACAAAAGGGAACCAAUGGGUGUGAACUACUUGGGUGCAAUGAUGCCCAGGAUAAGUGUGGCAGCCAGGCUUUCUCAGCGAUAUACCAAUCAUUCUCUCCGAACUACCACCAUCCAGCUACUGUGUGAAGCAGGACUGGGGCCUGGAGAAAAUUAUGGCAUUGGCAGGCCAUCACUCUGAGUCUGCUAUUCGACACUGCUGGGGAGCUGCAGAAGUUCACUACAGGGCUUGGUCAGAUAUAAUGGAGAAUAACACAAUCAAUUACCUAUAUAGCAAGAUUGCAAAUCAUAAAUGAAUCAUUAUCUGGUGUCUCCACCUUUUCUAGAAACCAUGUUGUUGUAAAACAAAGCAAAAUCUUAUAAAUCUUAGAAGUCUAGCAUGCCAUCUGGCACUAGUCUUGUGACUUUAGUCCCUGAGGGACAUACUGCUCUCCAAUCUAAAAGCCCUAUUGAUCCUUUUGAACUGCAGUUCUUCCAGCGUGCAGUUCUUCCUCCCCAAGAACGUAGCCAAUGUGAGCCCAACUGCCAGUCCUCUCCAAGGCUGUUGUAAUUAACUUUCAUAAAGCACUUGAUAAAACAAGAACUAACGUCUUGAUGCUUUUUGUAACAGAGCUGAUUUCAAGUAAAUCACUAGAAUAGAAAAAAAAUAUAUCAAAUUUGUUUCAUCAGUUGGUUUACUAAGGAAAUUUCCAAUGAUGUAGUUCAUCAAGAAGUAUCUUGUUCACAGUCCUGAAGUGAGCUAUGGAACAGAAACUUAGUGCAGGUCUUGCAGUUUCUGUGACUUUCAUUAGCAACUGGGACUCUAAAUGACUGAGCUGAGCUAUUUAAAUUUAAAAAAAUAAAAUAAAAAUGGGGAGAUACUGACUUCCCCUUAGCUGAAGAGCUAUGCUUUCUACACUAAGUGCAUGGCUUCUAUAUUUUGUGAAGAGUAUAUUUAUUGUACCACUCUGUGACUGUUGGCACUACUGUAGCAUCUUACUAAACAAAUACUUGAUUGCUGAAGAUCUCAGAGAAAAGUACAAGCUGAAUGAAACAGACACUUGCAGUUCAAAUACAUACAUAUGCAUGAAAACAGCUGGAGUUGCCUGAUCACUGUCACAUUCUUUGUUCCAGUCUUGUUACCAGUGAUUGUUACCAGUCUUGCCAAAAGAUUAUGCUGUGCAGCUUCCUGUUUUUAUUGUUUUGCUUUUGCUUUUUUUUUUUUUUUUUUUUUUUUGAACAUACUUUUAAAUUAAUUUAAUCCACAAGCUACAGAUUUCUGUUGCAGGUCUUUCGUUUUCCUUUCAUGUUUUUGACUAAGAUUUCAGUCACUCCCAUCUCCAAAAACACUAUCUGAUACAAAUGGUGCAAAAAUUUCUGUGUCUUCAGUUGUUCAUGAAAUGAGGAAAACGUUCUCAAUAGAAUUGAGAGCAGAUCUGUUGUUUAAAUGUAAUUAAAGUUGAGGUGUUACCUCUGGAAACAUUCAAGGUCAGGCUGGAGGAGUUCAGAGCAACCUGAUCCAGCUGUAGAUUGCCAGUUCAUUGCAGGGGAUUUGGACUAGGUGAACUUUAAAAUUCCUUUCCAGCUCAGGUGGUUCUAUGACUAAGUGACUUGAUGCCUGAUCUUUGGAGUUCUUAUUGUGGCUGCUGCUGAUUACAUUUUCAAGUCUGGGUUAGGUUAGUUGUAUUUACUACUUCACUUUUCCUUAGUGUAGACUAACCCAGAAUGUUCUGUUUUCUCAUCGGUUGUGUUAAUUAUUGAAGAGAUUUCAGAAUCGCUGUAUGUAUCGUAUAUACUGUUUAUGGUCAGUCUUUUCAUAUUAUAAAGAUCAAGAAAGUUAAUGAGAUAUAAUCUUUAACGUAAAAAUUACUUCUGCCACACAAUCCUGUGUUGCCUUAGUUAUAGCAUUAACUUAUGACUUUCUUGGCUAUAGGAAAUCACAGAUCCAGGAUUAUCAUUUUAUCAAAUCUAAAGUAAAUCAAAUGGAAAUAACAAAUAGAAAGGCCUUUCUAGGGGGCAUAUAUAAAAAUUAGGGAAAAAAAAUACACAAAAACAGGUGGCAGUAUCUUAUUCUAGGAUUUUUUAGCAUAGCAAACUUCCAAACUUUGUCUUCAUAGAAUUCAUAAUUCAGGUAAACUGGCAAAUUUCAUUUCUUGUUCGAAGAGUCUCGCUCUAAAUCUUCACCAAGAUGGAUAUGUCUUGGUUUUUUACACCUUCUCUCCCAUUUCCUGUUGUUGUCUCAGAUAAUUCCUUGUUCUGGUCUACAAGACUUAACAAAGGAUGCAAGAGAACACUGACAGGAGUUCGUUCUUUUUUGUUCAUUCUUGCUGCAUAAUGUGGUCAUACCAGCCACAUAUCCUGCUCUGGUCCUAACUGCAUCUGUGUAAUUUACUGUAACUGCAUAUUGGCAUAUUGCUAAUAGUUUGAUUCCUCAACAAAAAUCUAGGUGGUAAUUUAAACUGGGAAAAAAAAAAAGCUGAGCAUGUCUGAUUUUUUUUUUUAAUUUAACUUUGAAUUUGACUUUUAUCUGUUGACUGCUAAUUAGAUAUUUUUAAUUUCUGAUUUGUUAAAUUCUAAUUUUAUUGACACCAGCUGUGUUCUAAGUCUUCAUUUUCAACCUGGUACUUCUAAGCUGUUACUAACUGCAGUAUUACUAGGUGCACUCUUGGCUUGGGCUACAAGUAGUAUUGCUUUAAAAGAGCUGGAGAUGGUGUUAAAUAUUAGUGGAAAGAUUAAUAGAGUUAGUUAUAACUAAUAGAGUACAUUUCUAGCCUUCUACAAUUUAAAAUCUUCCCUGUUUUUCCUCCCACCCAAAGUUUUAUACUGAUCUUCCUGCAUGUGUUUCUAGAAAAGCUGAAGCAGGCGAACAGAAUGUGUGUUUGGCUGCUUCUGUAAAUUCAGCUUUGGCUAUGUGUGUAGUAGUGUGGGGAAAGAAGUCUUUCCUUUUCCUCUCAGAAAAUAUCAAAUAAAUCCCAUUUAUUAUAGAGCAGACUAUGAACUGUGAUCAUGAAAUCUGUUCAAAAUAUUGGCAUGAAUUGCUACUCAGUGGCAGUGGCAGCAGAGAAUCACAGCAUGAGGUUUUUUUUUCUUUUCCACUACGUAUGUUUAUCAUUAUUUGUAAGACACCAUUGGAUCAUAAUUUACAUUUCAGUUAAAAAAAAAAAACAGAAUGUAGCAAAUAUACAUUGAAAUAAAUGUAUUAUCUGUCAUUCUUGACUUUUCUAAUUAGAUUUCUCAUAAAAUUCAUUUUUCAUUUCAGUUGCAGAAAAACUGUACUUAGCCUUAACGAAGUCAACUAAGCUUGUAUUUUCAACAAGAGCUGCUAUGUCAUUGAUUAAAUUCCAUUUUCCACAUUGAAGCUGAUUCUGAAAACAGUGGGAAAUGACUGUGACAUUUCAUAAAUAUUUUAGUUUUACAUCUCGUUUUUAUAGUGAGGCUUCAGUACAUAUACUGGGAAUGUAGAACUUCUGUUCUUUGUGGGUUUUUUGUAAGUUUGGAAAUUUCCGUUAAGUAGUACCUUCAUUUUUUAUUUUAUUAUGUUAGUGCAGUAUCUUACAGUGUGUCGUGUUGUUUUUUUCUUUCAUUGUUGUGUAAGUAAUUCAUCCCUGCUUUAAAAUACUGUGAUCUGCAAUGUGGGAGAUUGUAAAAGGUAAAUAUUCCUCACUAUAUGCACUUUUCCUGUGUCCACAUCUCUGAAGAGCUCUCUGAAGAUCUCAGUUGUGUAGAAUGUCAGAUAUUUGAAGACAGUCCUGAACUGCAAGAUUUUGAUAAUUACAUAGUGCCUGGGUUAGUAUAGUUAGGAGUUAGCAGGAAGCAGCUUGGAUGGAUAGUUUUGCUGUGCUACUACUUCUCCCUUUUCAGCCUUCCUCUGCUUAUUGCUCCAAAAGGAAUGGCUGCAGUGAUUUAGGGAGAGGGGGCAUCUUGCUAUGUUACUGGUAGUCUCUGAACUUCCAACUUUUUCCUGUUUACACAGAAAUAGAAAGGUUGCAACUUGGUCCCAGUAAUUUUGCCAAAGGCCAUUCCAGUGCCUGAGGUCAUAGGAUUGUAUUUCUGAAGAUGUGACAAGCACUUUUAAUUUAUUACGGUACAUGUUGUUGUUAGGGGCAAAAGGAUUUAUAAUUAUAUAACAAAUCUUUAUAAUAGUUUAAAAGUAUUUUAUUAUGAAUCCCAAUUAUAGAUACAGGAAUUAAAAAUGUUCUAUAUAAUGUAUAAUAUAGCACAGCAUACUGUGGGAAUCUAUUAAAGUGACUUAUUAACAUUUUGUGAUAUAACAUAACAGUGAGUAGACUUGAAUGAUGUUGGGUGUGUUAAAAAUGGUGAACAUAGAAUCAGUCUUUUUGAGUUAUAUUUAUUAAAUCACCAAGUUGGGCAGAUAGUCUUUUUUUCCCUGCUCCAUGCCCUGGAUGCACUUUACCCUUUUGUGGAGUACAUCUUUUUUCAGUUUAAAUUUAAUCUGUGCAUUUCAGCUUUUCAGCUAACAUGAUUUCAAAUGAAAAAUCCACCAGUGUCCAAUCCAUUUCCCAAUGUUUGUGACGUACCUUGAUUUGUUUGAUUCUCUACAGUUGAAGGUAUUUCUGUGAUUAUUGGAAAUGUAUCUGGUAAAAUGCUAUUAAAGUGCAUCUAUAACUUUUUUUUUCCCUUUAUUUGCAAUGUGUAACAAACUUUGUGAAUGUCUAUUGGGGAACAGAGUGAACAAAGGGGACAUACCAGCUUAAAAGUAUUAACAGCUAUUAAUUCUAUGUUGUUGAACCAUUACUGGUGAAAAUGCGUUUCAUAGUUUGGUCACUGAAAAUAAAUGUGUAAUUAUAUAUGUAAAAUGGGAUACUUGAUUUUUGUCUCUGAAUGUACGAUGAUGUUUCUGCUAUUUAAAAUGCAGCUAGCUCUCAUCUAUAAGGUGGAACCUUUACCUGAGACUAAUUUGAACUCUAAAUUCUUAAGAUGUUAGAAGUUCAAAGGUCCUACAAGAAUGAAUUAGCUAGAUUAUUUUUUUUUCCUUACAACAGCAAUUCAAUUCAGCUAUACGAUGUCCUCUUGGGAAUUUUUCAGAUUAUUUUUAAAAUUCAUUAUUACAGAGGUUGUCUUUCCUUGAGAUUGUACCUGUGUUAUUUAAAACAACUCCUAGCUGCUGAGAAAAGCUUUCAGUAAGACUUGUAGUUGUGUUUUGUAGACUCCAAUUUGUCAGUUUGGGCCAAAAAAUCAAGAGUUUUAUUGAAACGUUAAACUGUUGAUGUCAUUGCACUGUGAACGAAUAAUAGCUAUAAAAAGUUUUAUUAAACUGAAACAUGCUAUAAUUAAAAUACAUUUAAUGACUAGUAAUAUGGUUGCUGUUCAAAGUGGCCAUCCCGUAUGAUAUUGUUUUGAAACUUUCAGCAGUCUUUGGGGAAAGAGGGUAGAUGUUUCACCUUAAGAGAGUAAGACCCAGUAAAGAAAUGUGUGUGCAAGUGUGUGUUUAUUAUAUACCCUUUAACUGUUUGAUUAAAGAAGAAAUCACAGCAGUACACAGAUGCUUUAAGCAUUACAUCAAAUGGUCCUUUAUAGUUUUUAUUUUGGAAUUACGAUAACCACUAAAAAAAUCUUUCUAGCGAAGAGGGUUUUAGUUAUGCUUCCUGAUUUAUGUUUCUUAUUGAUGGGCAUAGCAGAGCUGAUGUCUGAUCUUUGCAACAAAGAAAUGAGAGAGUAUAAAACAUACAGAGAUUACUAAAACAGAUUCCUCAGUUUUUCCAUAUUUGUUUUGUUAUGCUGUAGAAAACAUUGCGCAGUACUGAAUAGAGUAAGGGGAAUGGUCUGGUAAAUGCAAUAUGUAAAAUGUCUGCUGAGAGUGUUUGAGUUACACACAAUUAAGCAACCGCACACUAUCAAAAUAAGUAUUGCAGCCCUGUGAAAUUUUGUUUGUGCAGAAUACAAACUCAGUAAACUGUUAGCUUAUUGCAUUAUCAUUUAUACUGUGGUAAGAGAUGACAAAUGCAUUGGACAAAUAAAUUUUCAUGACAGCUUUGCGAGGAUUGCCUAAUUAUUUUAAUGUUGUGAGAGCCACUAUAUUGGAAUUGAUAAGUGUUAAGGGGUGAGAAGUUUGAAGCAGUCUGUAACAGAAUUAUACUCAUGAAUGUACUAAAAAAAUGUUUUCCAUAGCUACUUAGCCUGUGCUUGAAAUCUGUGGGUUUGUAUGUGGAUGUGAGCUUUGUUUUUAUCAUACAAACUCAGUAUCACCACUACACACAUGCUAUUUCCAGAACAUAUUUUUAACAUCACUUUCCAUAAUUUCAAAUCGAUUUUGCUAUUAUAUAAUGCCUUGGUGCGUCAUGUACAACUGUAGUGGUGUGAUGGUUCAUGAUAGUUAGUUUUGUAACUCCCAGAUUUUUUUUCAGUUUUGUUGAUCUAGAAAGCAUUAAUAAUAAAAUUUUCUGCGCUUUGUCAGUGUGCUACAAAUAAUCUUCAGUAUUUUGAGUUUUACUAUCCUAGAGUUGAUUUUUGUUGUUUGAUUUUUUUUUCUGUUUUUCACUUUUACUUGCUGAAAUGUUCCUUUAUGAAAAGCAGGUGGCAUUACAAUAUACAGCAUUGUUAUUUGUGUGAUGAAUUGACCCAUGGCGUUAUAUAAUAUCAAAAUUCAAAGCAAAAAAGAUCACGCAUAUACUGUAUUACUGUAUUUGAAUAGAGAAGUUCAUAUGCAGAGUACCAGAAUCCACAUUUUGUUAUGUGCAUGUUUGCCUGUGUAUGUGUGGUGUUGUGUAAAAUGAUGUAACAGAUAACAUUUUUUGUUCAGAGAUUUUCUGUUCAGAGAUCUGUUCCCCAGCUUUGUCAGUAGUUUGCUAUUUACAUGUAUAUUGUGAUGUUCUAACCACUUCUGUUUUGGUUAAAUUUUGUAAUAAUAGUUAUAAUAGAAAAAGUUCCGUUCUUUUCUCAACAUCAUCUGCCAUAUGUGCUUUGGUCCUUGACCUUUAAAUUCAGGCUCCUUUCUUGUAUUUGUUCUUUCGUGAAAAUGGAGUAACUUUUUUUUUUCUCUCAUGAUUUAACCCAGCAGGCAGUUAAGCACCCCAUAGCCAUUUGCUCACUCUCCCUAAAGUGGGAUGGGGGAGAGAACUGGGGGAAAAAAUAAAAUAGAACUAUUGGGUUGAAAUAAAAACUAUUUUUUAAGGCAGAAAAGUAAGGAAGAAAAGGGAGAAAAAAAUCGCGGUGAUGACUGCAUGUGUGUAGUAUGUAGUGUGGCUGUACUCUGCUGCCAGAGGAACUGAGAAAAAUGCACUCAUUCCCAAUGAGGCUAAUUUGGCCUUUCAGUAGUUAGCUUCUGGAUGUGCCUGUCACUCCAGAGAUACAGAUGAGUUCUGCCCCUUUAUAACUUGAUGGCCUUAAGGUAUGCUGUACACCAGCAUCCACUUGGGCCUUUUGCUCUGCAGUUCUGAUAUGUCAGACCAUCAAAUCCAGUCUGAUAAACCCAAUUGUCCCUUUUCUCCACCUGUCUGAAGGCAGGGCUGCUCUUCUUCUGGUUAUUUUGUUACUCAUUUCUUGUGAAUGCAAACUUUAAGGCUCAUUAUCAAAGUCAAAAAUGAGAUCAGACCAUCUUCUCUGUCUGGGAAACUGCCUGCUGGAAACUGGAGUGGCCAUUUUCCUGGAAGACCAGCCUUUUUCAGUUGUUUUACUUGCAACUCAUACACCCAUACCUCUAGGGUCAAAGUAGAUUUUCCAUUCCUCUUACUUAUAUCCUCUCCAUGUUCACAAAGAUAAAACCACAGAGUGGCACAUGGUGAGUAUAUAUUUCCUCCCCCGAGCAGAAUGCUUACUUCUAAUAGCAGAGACAGUAGUCCAUACAGGUGAGGAGUAGGACAUAAUGUCUGAAUUGCCGGCACUCCUGGGACAGUUUCUUCACAGCUGAAACAUGUGCCCAUAGGAAGAAGAGAAAUUUUCUUUAUGUCAUCAGAGUAGGCUGGCCACUUCAUCCGUUUUUGGCUUUUUGCAGUCUUUCCAGGUCAGUACUGCCAGUGUGUUGGCAUGUGGUGAUGGUGCACUCUGUACACAUUUCUGCCACAUUAGUCGUGAGCACUUAAUGUCAUCUAGAUCUUGGUGUAACUGUUCAUUGUCUAGGUUAGCAGUAUAGCUCACCUCCAGCACAACUAAUGCCCUUGGGUACUGAUUUUCUCCAUGCUGGUCCACUUGUCCAGAUAACAUACCAAAUCCUUCUUGAAGGGAUAUCUUUCAUGGCUGACAAAAGUCACCUCCAUAGGAUGAAGGCUCGUUCCCCUUUUCCAAUCACUUUGUCAAGCAGUGUUGAGAGAUAUGACAACCUCUGAUUCAGGACUUAAAAGGAUUAAUUCAGAUACUUGAAAGAAAAUUUACGCUUUUGCUUUUGCUUUCACAAAUUAUAUGAAAGAGCUGCUCAGUAUUAAAAUAAUUAUCCUCCAUACCUGCCAAGGUAGAUGCUUGGGUGGAUUGUUUGGCAUACAACCAAAGCUGAAGGUAAUUCUAUAUUGUUAAAUGUUGGUGUAGACAUACUGUGAAUUGAAGAAACCACAGCAGAGGAUGUGGAAUUUGAUAGUCUUUGAAGAGCACACUUUUCAAACUGUGAGAUUCCUUCUGCUUGGCUGGCUUUUUGAGGAAAAAUGCACAACAUUGAAAAGUCAUUACAGAAGACUCACGCAGUCUAGUAUUUGAAGUGGUUCAUGCUUAGCUGCUCCUUGGCUUGUAAUUCUCAUUUCCUGUAUUUUUUCUUCAUUUUGCUUUCUUUUUUCACCUUUGUUUCUGCUCUUAAUCAUACAUUGCAACCCUUCUUCAUUCAUUUCAACUCAUGUUUUGCUUUUGAGCUCCAACAUACAUUAAUUUGCAUGAAUCUUCUUAGACAGAUCUACAUUGCACUGAUCUAUGAAGUGUUCAGUUACAAGAUACAUUGCUUUUAUGCAAAACAGUUGCAAAUGAAAGUUCAGUGACAGAUGAAGAAUAAAGAUGUGACUAUUAAAAUUACAAAGUCAGUAAGAGAUGAAGUCUUGUGUUUUUCUUGUUGUCUUUCUAAAUUUUUGUCACAUUUAUCUGUGAAUUCUGACAUUUGAUAGUAGGAUUUCCUCACCUCUCCUCUCCCAAAAAAUAAAUUGUUGAAGAAUAUGUUUUAAAUGAAAAUUCUCUUCUCUUUCUAGUCACUUUUUUAGAAUGAAUUCCAUAUUUUAGUAAUUGCAGAAAGAUAACUGCAGAAAUAAAUGUGUAAGAAAUAUUUCAAAUGUGAUCAGAAAACAAAUGCUUGAUGCAGAUUUGUUGCAGGUCAUAUAAAAUCUGAUUUUAAAUAGAUGCAAAUGCUGUUAUUAGUUAGUUUAUAUUUUUAUUUAAAGUUUGAAAACCAUAUUUGCACCUUUGCAACAUACGAGUGCCAACAAAUUUCUUUGACUAAUUGUGUUUUCAGGCUUAAUUGUUUAAUGUGUUGCCUGCAAACACCCACUUACUUCUAUCAACUGUGCUUCUACAUUUUGUUAAAUUUAUGUUCCUGUUUCAUUGUCACUGGAAAUUUAGAUGGGAACUUGGUCAGUGCAGGUCUUGCAGGUCUUUGGUGUUCUGACAGCAAGCACAUAGUAUUAAUGCUUACUUUCUUGAGGCAUAUGAUGUUAACUUGCUUUGUGUAAAAUUGCUACGCUCCCAGCUGAUUUAUGUGAGCAGAAAAAGAUUAAAACUAAGGCAGGUGAGAUGCAGUUGUGGUUCAGGUCUCACUCUUGCCUAUUUGUGCUUGUCUUGUUAGCUCUGGAUAAAACAGGUCCAAAGCAGAUGUGUGAAUGACAGCUUUUUGGAGCACUUCCUCUUAUUCCCAGAUGAACGGCAUAUGUGUUAACACGCAUAAACUGGUACAGAUGAUGGAAAAGGCAAUAUGGCAAUUUAAGUUUAUUUUAAACUUCUUAUAAACUUCUUAUGUCAUGAUUUCUGGAAACUACACAGAUGCUACUGUAAACAGAUUUCUGUGCAGCUGAUUUCUGUCACUUGGAAGACUAAUGCUCUAGUUCUGACAAAAAUGAGAAAAGGUGGUUUCAGAGGUUUUGGUAUUGUUGGCUGUGGUUUUGUUUGUUUUAAUAAAAUUGUUAGUUUUACUAACGUGUUCCAAGUAGAUACGGAUCACUUCAUCUUACCUCAGUUAUUUAGUUUCAGUUCCAGUUUAUUCUAGGCCACUGACUUCUGUUACUCAGAUCUGCUAGGCAAAAUGUGAAAUAAGGCACAAUGCAUACAUUUUGGGUUCUCAUGAAAUGCUUUGAACUGUUUCACUACUGUGGUUGUCCUGAGGGAAAAAGUGUUGUAUCAUAGUUGUAUCAUCUUGUUCUUCCAUUGAGAUCAGGUGGAGCAUGUUCAGGAAUUCUUGGUAUUCCUGUGUUUGGAGAAAGCUGAAAAGUCAGCAGAUCAAAAUGCUUUUCUGUGGUACUAGUUUCUGCCUCAGUGCUUGCUGAAGUAUAAUAUUAGGAGAUGAAAAACUUAUUUUCUUAUUUUAGAUUUUUACCUAAAUGAGAAGGUGGUUCGUACAUAUUUGGAAGUCCAUUGUUACACUUCCUUUCACUUCGCGAGUGACACAAACCUUGCUACGCUAGUUCAUGGUUUUGCUCUGAGUGGUUUUAUAUAACUCUCCUUUUCUGAUGCGCGACAGGGCAGACCCUUCCUCAGAAUCCCCUUCCUUCAUUUUGCAGGAGUAAGAGCAGUUUUGUUUCUAGCCUUUCUUCAGAUGUGGUUCUAUUAUAAAAUAGAGCUUUUGCAAGUCCUUGUAGGAAAAAAAUAAAAAAUAAACAAUUCCAGAGAUAAUUUCUGACUAAAAGAGUCAUGAUAUUGGUAGUUGGGCACAGGACAUUAUUACUUCCUUCUGGCAGGGGUGAUUCCAAGUGGUUCCAUUCAUAGCUCUUAACCAUUCAUGUGGUAAGCAACAGCACUCCAGAAACACCUAAUAAACAAUAACUGUGUCUGGUCAUGGAGAUGUCUAACUUCCCUAUGAGGAAAUGUAAACCAGACUUCCAAUCCCUAAUUCCCCAUUCUUCCUAAAUCUCUUACUGUUCCCUUUCCUGCAUUUGAGAGAUCUAUAAGAAUCUGAAAACUAUGUGAAUCCUACAGAAUGUAGAAAUGGUGUCUGCUCCUCCUCUUAAAUGUUGACUGAUACUUUGAAUAGCCAGAAUUCUGACCUCUAUGACAGGCAUAAUCAGCACUCUAUUCUGUGAAGGAAUACCCUGACAACCCCAUACCCUUCUACAUACUUUUCUUUGGUGACACAACAUGCACCAUUUUCAGCAUUUCAGGUUACCUUAUAAUUUUCCCACAGCCCUAAAUUUCAUUCACAGGAGAUGCAUGGCAGGUGAAUUAGAGGAAUCUAGCUCUGAGGAGUGAAGACUUCAUAGUGCGCUGUAUGUGGACUGCUGCUUCCUCUUGUUUUAUCUGGAGCAUGUGCUUUGGAAGUGGAACUGGGGGUUGUAUAAGACAGCACCAUGCAAAACUGCCCUUUAGGUCCACAAUUUUAGUACAGGUUGUGGAAGGAAAUGUAACAACCUUAAGAUAUUUUUACUAAGGAGAUUUCUGCCAGGGUUGUUCUGUAGAAAAACUUGAAUAAUGUGGUUAACUCACAGGUCUGUUCUUCUGAAAACUGCAUUCUUGAGACAUAAUUGGCUCAUUGGAUUCUUUGUUUAGCAUUGCAUAACUCAAGAUUCUGGCCUCCCAGACACAUCAAAAUCAAAGUUUCAUGCAAUAUUGGAAAUUCAAAGAACUUUCUCAGCUGACACAGAUAAGUAGGGCUUCAAAACAGUUUCAUUAAGAGUAUUUUUCUCCAGGGAUUUGAAUUUCUUUGUGGAAGAAGAAUUGAAGGAAAUUACUUCAGACAAAUAGAUUCUGUCAUGGGGGAAAAAUGAAUUGUUUAGUGUUAGUUUAUUCUUUCUCCAGCUCAUAGAUCUCCCUCCUUUUUCAGUCUGCUUUCUCCUAGCAAAGAAAACCAUCAUUUAAAAUCACAUCAAUGACUGGGAAGAUUAUCAGGUUGGAAUGAAAUUCCUCUUGAUUUUAUGCUAAUCAAGUAGCUAUUGGUUAUUUGAAUGUGACAUUUAUCCUAAGCUUCAAGUGGUUAAAUCAGGUCAUCACAUGAAGAAAACUGAAGCUGGAAGGUCUUUGAAAUAGAAAUCUCUGAAAUCUGAAAGGUGUUUCUCUAUGUAGAGCAAAGACAGAAUCCCUGCAGAAGUCACCUCUGUCAUCUUGGAUCUUAAGUACUUCGCUGUUCUUCAUAUUUUAUGCCAUCCAAGUUAUUAGCAGAAUUUCAUCAAUGGCAGCAUCAGAACUUCAGUAGAAAUCUUAUUAUAAUCUGAAUGCAUAAUGAUCAUUCAUGUCAGGCCUUCCAAAUCCAAUGACCAGUAAUUCAGAGACUGCUUUCAUUGUAUUUAGUGAUACCUCUUUUCUCCCUCCUCAAAGCUUUACCAGCAUGAGAACUGUCUUGAAGACUUCAGUAAAGGCUUUACUUUACUCUAAGUUCAUAGAGCAGAUGAUCUCAAUCCUUGGGCUUUUUGCAUCUGUCCCUAUUAGACCACACAGUAACACCUGAAUCUUGUUAAGCUUUAUCACGCUGGUUGUGUGUGGCUGAUAACUUACACUAUUUUUCAUAUUAAUUAUUCAGUGAUUUUGGUAAUUGUUUUCCUAACCCCUUGUUUGUCCCAAGGAAUUGACUGCAAUCUGUAAAUCAAUAACAGUUCAGUCCAGCAACAAAUGGUAAUUUCUUCUGCACAACCAAAUUCUACUUCAAGUUUAAGAUAUCAGAUAUUCAUGUCAUUCCACAUCUGUUCUAGAAAGCUUUUUUAAAAACCCAGACAAACCUAGGAUUUUUCUUCCAUUAUUUAUUCCAUCAGCUAAAUAAAAAGUUUGGUGGUUCCUGUAAACAGUCUAAACAGUCUGUUUAAAGGAUCUGUUGAUCCAGAAGAUAAAUCUUGUUUGAUGGCCCACUGGGUUUUUAUAACAUUUAGCCUUCAGAAAUUAUCUUCUCUGAAGAGGUAGACACAAAUAGUUUUAUAUGUAGGAUGACAGAAUAUUGAAAUCUGUGAUGAUGGAUAAAAUACUAUAAAGAAGUUAAAAGCUGGAAACUAUUGGAAUUUUCUGGUGGCUUUUGAUGACCUGUUUUAUCAGCAUAUGGGUCGCAUAAGAGGUUUUCAUACUCUGAAGUCAGUGUCACUGUAGGCGUGCAGGCUGAACUAUCUCAAGAUGAGUAAUACAUUGUCCCACAUUGUCCCAGUGACUAUUGUGUCAAAAGAUUAUACUACCAUAAACAAAAGCACAAUUGGAUUAAAACACUACAAGGGUCAUAACUGAAAGAUACUUAAUAAUACCAUUUUGUUAAUGUAUUUACCCGUAAAAUAACAACAUACUACUGGUCAUUAAGUUAAGAGAUAGUUCAGUAUUCGAUACUGAAAUCCAUACAGUUGGUUUUUGCCUGUUUUUCCAAGUCCAGAGAAGUUUGUUUGAAAUCUCCUCCUACUGCUUAAUGCAUCAGUUUCUUCAUAAUAAGUGCUUCAGUUCUGAGACCUCACUUACUCAGUGUUCAGUUCAUAUCCCUUUUCCAUCUGUGUUCCCUGGAUUUGCUUUUGCAAAAUGAAGGAGUUUUGUCUUUCAGAGCGGGAAGGUCACAGGAAGCGAUUCAGGAGGUGUCAUUGACCUUACACUGGAUGAUGAGGAUGAUGUCUCUUCUCAAGCAGAGGCCAAGAAGCAGAAUCAGACACCUCCUACAGCACAGAGCA